CCUACGGGAGGCAGCAGUGGGGAAUCUUGCGCAAUGCGCGAAAGCGUGACGCAGCAACGCCGCGUGAGGGAAGACGGCCUUCGGGUUGUAAACCUCUUUCAGUUGGGACGAAGCCACGGCGGUUAAUACCCGUCUGUGGUGACGGUACCUUCAGAAGAAGCCCCGGCUAACUACGUGCCAGCAGCCGCGGUAAUACGUAGGGGGCAAGCGUUGUCCGGAAUCAUUGGGCGUAAAGCGCGUGUAGGCGGCUUGGUAAGUCCGCUCUGAAAGCCCGGGGCUCAACCCCGGGAGGCGGGUGGAUACUGUCAAGCUCGAGUCCGGAAGAGGCGAGUGGAAUUCCUGGUGUAGCGGUGAAAUGCGCAGAUAUCAGGAGGAACACCAAUGGCGAAGGCAGCUCGCUGGGACGUGACUGACGCUGAGACGCGAAAGCGUGGGGAGCAAACAGGAUUAGAUACCCUGGUAGUCCACGCCGUAAACGAUGGGCACUAGGUGUGGGAGGUGUCGACUCCUCCCGUGCCGAAGCUAACGCAUUAAGUGCCCCGCCUGGGGAGGACGGCCGCGACGACGAACACAANAGAGUAGACGGCGUGAGACGNGCGACGGACGACGACGAGGGAGGAGG
rnacentral:rRNA from 1 species